UCUUCAGGUCCUCAGUCAUGGACAGAACCAUGCUGCUGCUCAUGUUGUGUCUGCAGGUUUUCCUGCUCAUCGCAACCUUCUCUUCUACUGAUGCAGCCGCACUGAGGACAGAUGAGCAACUAUCCCCUGAUGAGAGUAGACAAAGACUUCCACGAUAUGCAUCAAACUGCCGGUGGAGGACAGGUGCAUGUGGUUCCUUUGCUAAGGGGAACAGUGGGACACUAGAAGAACCACAAACUACAAAGAGUCCAAUUGAAACAAACUUUGAAGUGUUGGUGUCAGUAAAACAGAAACCCAACUGAGUGUCAGUGAUCAGCAGAUAUUCUUACAAGGAAGAUAUGAGGCACUGGAGGCAGAACGUGAAGCCCUGCACUGAUUACAUCCUCUCCUUGAGAAAGGGGAAAUCCUUGCAAAUGUGCUUCCGCUCUUCACAGCUACACUAAGGGUCACUACACCAGGACGAAGCAACUGCCCACAGCGCCAAAACAUCUACCAAAUGUUUUGCUGACCACAUUAUAACUGUGAUUGAUUGGCCCUGACCCAGAUGGUGGGGUAUUGUCAAUUUAAAAUAAAAAAGG